rnacentral:rRNA from 1 species
GACGUAGGUGGCGACCGUUAUCCGGAAUUAUUGGGCGUAAAGGGUGCGUAGAUGGCCUGAUAAGUUAGCAGUGGUAAAUCGAGGCUCAACCUCGUGGAAGCUGGUAAUACUGUCAGGCUCGAGUGCAGGAGAGGUUAACGGAACUCCAUGUGGAGCGGUAAAAUGUGUAGAUAUAUGGAAGAACACCAAUAACGGCGAAGGCAGUUAACUAUUCUGUUACUGACAUUGAGGCACGAAAGCGUGGGGAGCAAAACGG